rnacentral:rRNA from 1 species
AGGGUUUGAUCCUGGCUCAGAAUGAACGUUGGCGGCGUGGAUUAGGCAUGCAAGUCGCGCGAUAACUCAUGGGAUUGAAGCUUCGGUUGAUUUCCCGGAGGGACAGCGGCGAAAGGGAGAGUAACGCGUAGUUACCUACCCCAGGGCCUGGGAUAGCCGCGGGAAACUGCGGGUAAUACCGGAUGAUAUCUGCUUCCUUUCGAGGAGGCGGAUCAAAGGUGAGAUUCCGCCCUGGGAGGGGACUGCGUCCUACUAGCUUGUUGGUGGGGUAAUGGCCUACCAAGGCAUUGAUGGGUAGCGGGCGUGAGAGCGUGGCCCGCCUCACUGGGACUAAGACACUGCCCAGACACCUACGGGUGGCUGCAGUCGAGAAUCUUCGGCAAUGGACGAAAGUCUGACCGAGCGACGCCGCGUGCGGGAUGAAGGCCUUCGGGUUGUAAACCGCUGUCAGUUGGGAGGAAAUCUGGUGGGGUUCUCCCCUCCAGUUGACCUAUCUUCAGAGGAAGUCCGGGCUAAGUUCGUGCAGCAGCCGCGGUAAGACGAACCGGACAAACGUUAUUCGGAAUCAUUGGGCUUAAAGGGUGCGUAGGCGGUGCGGUAAGUUGGGUGUGAAAUCCCUCGGCUCAACCGAGGAACUGCGCCCAAAACUACCGUGCUAGAGGGAGACAGAGGUGAGUGGAACUGAUGGUGGAGCGGUGAAAUGCGUUGAUAUCAUCAGGAACACCAGUGGCGAAAGCGGCUCACUGGGUCUCUUCUGACGCUGAGGCACGAAAGCUAGGGUAGCGAACGGGAUUAGAUACCCCGGUAGUCCUAGCUGUAAACGAUGAGCACUUGGUCGGGGAUCCCCCCAUAGGUUCCCGGUCGUAGCGAAAGUGAUAAGUGCUCCGCCUGGGGAGUAUGGUCGCAAGGCUGAAACUCAAAGGAAUUGACGGGGGCUCACACAAGCGGUGGAGGAUGUGGCUUAAUUCGAGGCUACGCGAAGAACCUUAUCCUGGAUUUGACAUCAACGGAUGGCAUGCCUGAAAGGGAUGUGUCUGCCUUCGGGUGAAACGUUGACAGGUGCUGCAUGGCUGUCGUCAGCUCGUGUCGUGAGAUGUCGGGUUAAGUCCCUUAACGAGCGAAACCCUUGUCACUAGUUGCCAGCGCGUAAUGGCGGGGACUCUAGUGAGACUGCCGGUGUUAAACCGGAGGAAGGUGGGGAUGACGUCAAGUCCUCAUGGCCUUUAUGUCCAGGGCUGCACACGUCCUACAAUGCCGCGCACAGAGGGAAGCGAACUCGCGAGAGUAAGCAAAUCCCAGAAAACGCGGCCCAGUUCGGAUUGCAGGCUGCAACUCGCCUGCAUGAAGCCGGAAUCGCUAGUAAUCGUGGGUCAGCAUACCACGGUGAAUGUGUUCCUGAGCCUUG